GAUGAACGCUGGCGGCGUGCUUAACACAUGCAAGUCGAACGGUGAAGCUCCAGCUUGCUGGAGUGGAUCAGUGGCGAACGGGUGAGUAACACGUGAGCAACCUGCCCCUGACUCUGGGAUAACAGCCGGAAACGGCUGCUAAUACCGGAUAUGCACCAUGAACGCAUGUUCUGUGGUGGGAAAGAUUUUUCGGUUGGGGAUGGGCUCGCGGCCUAUCAGCUUGUUGGUGAGGUAAUGGCUCACCAAGGCGUCGACGGGUAGCCGGCCUGAGAGGGUGACCGGCCACACUGGAACUGAGACACGGCCCAGACUCCACGGGAGGCAGCAGUGGGGAAUAUUGCACAAUGGGCGAAAGCCUGAUGCAGCAACGCCGCGUGAGGGAUGACGGCCUUCGGGUUGUAAACCUCUUUUAGCAGGGAAGAAGCGAGAGUGACGGUACCUGCAGAAAAAGCGCCGGCUAACUACGUG
rnacentral:rRNA from 1 species